rnacentral:rRNA from 1 species
UACGAAGGGGGCUAGCGUUGCUCGGAAUCACUGGGCGUAAAGGGUGCGUAGGCGGGUCUUUAAGUCAGGGGUGAAAUCCUGGAGCUCAACUCCAGAACUGCCUUUGAUACUGAGGAUCUUGAGUAUGGGAGAGGUGAGUGGAACUGCGAGUGUAGAGGUGAAAUUCGUAGAUAUUCGCAAGAACACCAGUGGCGAAGGCGGCUCACUGGCCCAUUACUGACGCUGAGGCACGAAAGCG